UAUUGGGCGUAAGCGCGCGCAGGCGGUUUCUUAAGUCUGAUGUGAAAGCCCACGGCUCAACCGUGGAGGGUCAUUGGAAACUGGGGAACUUGAGUGCAGAAGAGAAAAGCGGAAUUCCACGUGUAGCGGUGAAAUGCGUAGAGAUGUGGAGGAACACCAGUGGCGAAGGCGGCUUUUUGGUCUGUAACUGACGCUGAGGCGCGAAAGCGUGGGGAGCAAACAGGAUUAGAUACCC
rnacentral:rRNA from 1 species